GGUAGCUCAGUGGUAGAGCGCUUGCCUUGUAUGCCUGAGGCCCUGGGUUCGAUUCCUCAGUACCA
rnacentral:tRNA from 1 species